rnacentral:tRNA from 1 species
GCCGGCGUAGCUCAGCCAGCAGAGCACGCGCCUCGUAAGCGCGGGGUCGAGGGGGCAGAGCCCUCCGCCGGCU